GUUUUUCGCUUGAGGAUGAGCCCGCGUGAGAUUAGCUAGUUGGUGAGGUAAUGGCUCACCAAGGCAACGAUCUCUAGCUGGUCUGAGAGGAUGAUCAGCCACACUGGAACUGAGACACGGUCCAGACUCCUACGGGAGGCAGCAGUAGGGAAUAUUGCGCAAUGGAGGAAACUCUGACGCAGCGACGCCGCGUGAGUGAUGAAGGCCUUCGGGUCGUAAAGCUCUGUCGCAGGGGAAUAACACAAUG
rnacentral:rRNA from 1 species